rnacentral:rRNA from 1 species
CCUACGGGAGGCAGCAGUAGGGAAUUUUUCACAAUGGGCGAAAGCCUGAUGGAGCAACGCCGCGUGCAGGAUGAAGGCCUUCGGGUUGUAAACUGCUUUUAUAAGCGAGAAAUAUGAUGGUAACUUAUGAAUAAGGAUCGGCUAACUACGUGCCAGCAGCCGCGGUCAUACGUAGGAUCCGAGCAUUAUCCGGAGUGACUGGGUGUAAAGAGUUGCGUAGGUGGCAUAAUAAGUAGCUAGUGAAAUCUGGUGGCUCAACCAUUCAGACUAUUGGCUAAACUGUUAAGCUCGAGACCGUUAGGGGUAACUGGAAUUUCUAGUGUAGGAGUGAAAUCCGUAGAUAUUAGAAGGAACACCAAUAGCGUAGGCAGGUUGCUGGGACGGUUCUGACACUAAGGCACGAAAGCGUAGGGAGCAAACGGGAUUAGAUACCCUUGUAGUC